UAGCAUGGGAGGGAAUGCCCAUGUGAUGACAUGAACCGGCGAAUAAGGAUCGGCUAACUCCGUGCCAGCAGCCGCGGUAAUACGGAGGAUCCAAGCGUUAUCCGGAUUUAUUGGGUUUAAAGGGUGCGUAGGCGGACCCGUUAGUCAGUGGUGAAAGUUUGCAGCUCAACUGUAAAAUUGCCAUUGAAACUGCGGGUCUUGAGUGUAAAUAAGGUAGGCGGAAUGUGUUGUGUAGCGGUGAAAUGCUUAGAUAUAACACAGAACACCAAUUGCGAAGGCAGCUUACUGGGAUACAACUGACGCUGAGGCACGAAAGCGUGGGGAUCAAACAGGAUUAGAUACCCUGGUAGUCCACGCAGUAAACGAUGAAUACUAGCUGUAUGCGAUAUACUGUAUGUGGCAAAGCGAAAGCGUUAAGUAUUCCACCUGGGGAGUACGUUCGCAAGAAUGAAACUCAAAGGAAUUGACGGGGGCCCGCACAAGCGGAGGAACAUGUGGUUUAAUUCGAUGAUACGCGAGGAACCUUACCCGGGCUUGAAAUGCAUCUGACCGACGAGGAAACUUGUCUUCUAGCAAUAGCAGAUGUGUAGGUGCUGCAUGGUUGUCGUCAGCUCGUGCCGUGAGGUGUCGGCUUAAGUGCCAUAACGAGCGCAACCCCUAUCAUUAGUUACUAACAGGUUAAGCUGAGGACUCUAGUGAGACUGCCACCGUAAGGUGUGAGGAAGGUGGGGAUGACGUCAAAUCAGCACGGCCCUUACGUCCGGGGCGACACACGUGUUACAAUGGGGGGUACAGAGGGUUGCUACUUGGUGACAAGAUGCUAAUCUCUUAAAGCCUCUCUCAGUUCGGAUCGAAGUCUGCAACUCGACUUCGUGAAGCUGGAUUCGCUAGUAAUCGCGCAUCAGCCAUGGCGCGGUGAAUACGUCCCCGGGCCUUGCACACACCGCCCAC
rnacentral:rRNA from 1 species